ACCUUUGUUGAUUUCAGUCAGGUAUAAUCACCUGGUUGCAAGAUUCACAAUGCUGUCAAUUCACUUCUGGGUCAUACAGUCAAUAUAUAAUUUUUAUAUUGGCACCGUCAUAUAUAAACAAAGAUUAUAGUCGCAAACUGUUUUUCAAAUGCUUUAAAGAUGUUCAAUUGAUUGCACCUCGCUGGUCAGCAAAUAUUUCCCCCCAGGUGAAAUUAAUGUUUCAUUCUGAGGUUUUUCGUGUUUCUUUGAUGAUGUGGAAUAAAGGACUCUGCAAACCCCCAAAGGUUUUGGCCUCGCAUCGGAAUGAAAGACGUUUUGUUUCUCCACAUUGCGUUGAUUCGACGCGACUCUCUUCAUUCAAGGACUGCACUAUUUGCCCUUCUUUAGAAAAAUGUCAUUGAGAUGAUUUAUAACAUUAAAAGAUACACUAUUAAAGCAUCAUUUACCAGUCAACAUGAGUGAAAAGAUAUUGAAUAUGAACAUUUAAGUCGAUUAAAACUUUGAGUCAUAAGUUAAAAAUGAUGAUUUAAUUAGCAGUCAAACGCAUUAAUGAACUUAACGUUUUAAUAGAAUAAAUGAUGAAUAAAAAGAA